AAGGAGUCUAAGGGCAGUUACAAUAAUACAUAUUGUACAUAUUCAUCAACUGCACACUUGGAACACAAACAUUCCUAGAACAUACCCAGCUUUGCAACACCAUAUACCACCACAUAUAUUAUACCUGAUGUAUGUCUACUGUCGCAAAGAUGUAAAACAAUCAACUUUGUAAUCUAUAUUGAUUAUUAUGUAACAUUGUUCAAG